UAGAAGUUUUAWUCAUGGCUCAGGAUGAACGCUGGCGGCGUGCCUAAUACAUGCAAGUCGAGCGAACGGACGAGAAGCUUGCUUCUCUGAUGUUAGCGGCGGACGGGUGAGUAACACGUGGAUAACCUACCUAUAAGACUGGGAUAACUUCGGGAAACCGGAGCUAAUACCGGAUAAUAUUUUGAACCGCAUGGUUCAAAAGUGAAAGACGGUCUUGCUGUCACUUAUAGAUGGAUCCGCGCUGCAUUAGCUAGUUGGUAAGGUAACGGCUUACCAAGGCAACGAUGCAUAGCCGACCUGAGAGGGUGAUCGGCCACACUGGAACUGAGACACGGUCCAGACUCCUACGGGAGGCAGCAGUAGGGAAUCUUCCGCAAUGGGCGAAAGCCUGACGGAGCAACGCCGCGUGAGUGAUGAARGUCUUCGGAUCGUAAAACUCUGUUAUUAGGGAAGAACAUAUGUGUAAGUAACUGUGCACAUCUUGACGGUACCUAAUCAGAAAGCCACGGCUAACUACGUGCCAGCAGCCGCGGUAAUACGUAGGUGGCAAGCGUUAUCCGGAAUUAUUGGGCGUAAAGCGCGCGUAGGCGGUUUUUUAAGUCUGAUGUGAAAGCCCACGGCUCAACCGUGGAGGGUCAUUGGAAACUGGAAAACUUGAGUGCAGAAGAGGAAAGUGGAAUUCCAUGUGUAGCGGUGAAAUGCGCAGAGAUAUGGAGGAACACCAGUGGCGAAGGCGACUUUCUGGUCUGUAACUGACGCUGAUGUGCGAAAGCGUGGGGAUCAAACAGGAUUAGAUACCCUGGUAGUCCACGCCGUAAACGAUGAGUGCUAAGUGUUAGGGGGUUUCCGCCCCUUAGUGCUGCAGCUAACGCAUUAAGCACUCCCGCCCUGGGGG
rnacentral:rRNA from 1 species